GACGAACGCUGGCCGCGUGCUUAACACAUGCAAGUCGAACGGAAAGGCCCUGCUUUUGUGGGGUGCUCGAGUGGCGAACGGGUGAGUAACACGUAAGUAACCUGCCCUUGACUUUGGGAUAACUUCAGGAAACUGGGGCUAAUACCGGAUAGGAGCUCCUGCUGCAUGGUGGGGGUUGGAAAGUUUCGGCGGUUGGGGAUGGACUCGCGGCUUAUCAGCUUGUUGGUGGGGUAGUGGCUUACCAAGGCUUUGACGGGUAGCCGGCCUGAGAGGGUGACCGGCCACAUUGGGACUGAGAUACGGCCCAGACUCCUACGGGAGGCAGCAGUGGGGAAUAUUGCACAAUGGGCGGAAGCCUGAUGCAGCAACGCCGCGUGCGGGAUGACGGCCUUCGGGUUGUAAACCGCUUUCGCCUGUGACGAAGCGUGAGUGACGGUAAUGGGUAAAGAAGCACCGGCUAACUACGUG
rnacentral:rRNA from 1 species